rnacentral:rRNA from 1 species
GUGGGGAAUCUUGCGCAAUGGGCGAAAGCCUGACGCAGCCAUGCCGCGUGAAUGAUGAAGGUCUUAGGAUUGUAAAAUUCUUUCACCGGGGACGAUAAUGACGGUACCCGGAGAAGAAGCCCCGGCUAACUUCGUGCCAGCAGCCGCGGUAAUACGAAGGGGGCUAGCGUUGCUCGGAAUUACUGGGCGUAAAGGGAGCGUAGGCGGAUAGUUCAGUCAGAGGUGAAAGCCCAGGGCUCAACCUUGGAAUUGCCUUUGAUACUGGCUGUCUUGAGUAUGGGAGAGGUUAGCGGAACUCCGAGUGUAGAGGUGAAAUUCGUAGAUAUUCGGAAGAACACCAGUGGCGAAGGCGGCUAACUGGCCCAUUACUGACGCUGAGGCUCGAAAGCGUGGGGAGCAAACAGGAUUAGAAACCCGGGUAGUCC